rnacentral:lncRNA from 1 species
CUAUAGGGCAGCCCGCUAUGGGGCGGGCCGCUAUGGGGCAGGCCGCUAUGGGGCAGGAUUCUAUGGGGCAGGAGGA